ACAGCUUAUGCGAUAUUCUGGUAUAUAAGCUAAAGUCAUAAAAGUCUAGUUAUUUUCUAAUAUUAAAAUUGAAAUUGCCAAAAAAAAGACAAAAAAAGAAACAUCAACUGUUCUGCGAACCAUGUAUGCUAUAAAUCCUCUCAACAAAAAAAAGAAGAAAUCACCUGUACCAGCACGGCCCACACUCGAAAAUUGAAGCUUACAUUCCAAAGCCCUAAGAAAUCCUGGCUUCGCAAAUCACUGGAUCGUCAUAAUCAGCUUACUCGGCAACGGUAAGACGGAAGAUGGAGGUGUGACCCUUACCACCAACGGCACCUUGAAGGACAAUGAUCUUGUCACCCUUCUUGAGGAUGUUCAUCUUGUAAGCUUGUUGGCAACCGUAGGCAACACGAGCGUCAACAUCCUUUUGCCAGUCAGAAAGAGGCUCCUUCUCGUAGAUGACGGGGUAGACACCACGGUUGAGGUGAGAUUGACGAGCUCUUUGAGGGCAACGAGUAACCAUAACAAUGGGGAUAGAAGGACGGUACUUGGAGCAGAGACGAGCAGUGUUACCGCUGGUGGACAAGACAACGAUGGCCUUGGCAUCACUCUCAAUGGAGGCACCGAUGGCAGCGACAGCAGUGGUCUCGGUAGCACACUCAAGAGGACGACGGACGAGGCCGAACAUCUCUUGGUAAAGGCUGCCGUAAGGGAUGGAAGCCUCAGCAACACGGGCAGUCUCAGCCAUGUAGGUAACGGCUUCAACGGGGUAAGAACCCUUGGUAGUCUCACCGGAAAGCAUGACCAAGUCAGCACCAUCGAGAACGGCGUUACCAACAUCGGAAACCUCGGCACGAGUAGGACGAGGGUUGUAGGUCAUGGACUCAAGCAUUUGAGUGGCACAAGCAACGGGCUUACCAGCGAUGUUGCACUUGGCAAUCAUCAUCUUUUGGGCGACGAAAACUUGAGAGGCAGGGAUUUCAAUACCCAAGUCACCACGGGCAACCAUGAUACCGUCGGUAACGUCAAGGAUAGAGUCAAAGUUGUUAACACCUUGUUGGUUCUCGAUCUUGCAGAUGAUCUUGAUGUUCUUACCCUCCUCACCCAAAACUUCACGGAUGUGGAUAACGUCCUCAGCACGACGGAUGAAGGAAGCAAAGAUCAUGUCGACACCGUUCUUGACACCGAAGCGGAGA